CAGUCGCCACGGGAAUACGAAGGGUGCAAGCGUUAAUCGGAAUUACUGGGCGUAAAGGGUGCGUAGGCGGUUGUUUAGUUAGGCGUGAAAUUCCUGGGCUUAACCUGGGGACUGCGCUUAAUACAGGCAGUCUAGAGUGAGGAAGAGGGUUGUGGAAUUCCCAGUGUAGAGGUGAAAUUCGUAGAUAUUCGGAGGAACACCAGUGGCGAAGGCGGCUCACUGGCUCAUUCUAGACGCUGAGGUGCGAAAGCGUGGGUAGCAAACAGGAUUAGAGAACCCUGUAGUCCCUGUCUCUUAUACA
rnacentral:rRNA from 1 species